UCGGAGUGUUUGAGUUCCCGUGGAUGAAGGAGAGUAUGAUCUCGACCUCCCUCGAUUGGAGUCUACCGGAAUCUCUUUUUCCGGUUUUAGAUGAUGGUAAUGAGAUGUUUGAAGAGAUUAGUGAUGUGAGAUGGCCAGUGAAAAGGGUUAGUAAUUAUAGGUUGGAGUUUGAGGCCUUUGAAUGCAUUUGGACUUCUAUUUUGGAUUAGAUUGAAAUAUAUAUGUUAGCCAUGUAACUUACAAUGCAUUGAGAGUCUAGGACCAAACAAUGAAACUGUUUUCAUUUUUCUUUUAUGUUGAUAAUAAUGUGUUUGUUGAGAUGUAAAAGAGAGUAGAAGGGAAGGACCGAAGGAGUAGUUUUUGGUUUUUUAGAUAGGACGAAAAUAAAACAACAUUUCUUGUUGAAUUUUGCAUUAGUAUAUACGUGGGUGUUAAAAUUUCCUUUACGAUUAGUCCUUCAACUUCGUCAAUCGCCGAGCUUUGUGGCCUCUCUCCAGGACUUGACAAAACCAAUCUAAAACUUUUCUCUGAUGACAUGCAUGAUGUGUCGUCCUUGUUGGAUCAUAGACACAGCCACUGUUUGGAAUCAUAUACUUUCUGACCUCAACUUCAACACUUGGUCAGGUCUAUACACAUGUGUCCAAAUAGAAGUGAAAACAGUUUGAAUGCAUUGUAAAUCACCCUUAAUCUUUUUCCUUGAUAAUAAAUCGAGCGGGCCAUGAGAAGCUAAAUCUGUGAGAGCACAAAUAUUGUCUAUUACCUUUGAAUGCAUUUGGACUUCUAUUUUUGAUGAUGAUGUGAUAUAGCAAAAUUGAUGUAUCCAUAACUGGAACUAAUGUGCUGUGAAAAGUUGAAAUCCGGAAUAUUUUGACCAAUUCAAGCCUGAAAACAAAGGUUGCUCCUUAACAAAGUUUAGAUAAAAGACU
rnacentral:lncRNA from 1 species